ACGAACGCUGGCGGCACGCUUAACACAUGCAAGUCGAACGAGAGAAGAGAAGCUUGCUUUUCUGAUCUAGUGGCGGACGGGUGAGUAACACGUGAGCAAUCUGCCUUUCAGAGGGGGAUACCGAUUGGAAACGAUCGUUAAUACCGCAUAACAUAAUUGAACCGCAUGAUUUGAUUAUCAAAGAUUUAUCGCUGAAAGAUGAGCUCGCGUCUGAUUAGCUAGUUGGUAAGGUAACGGCUUACCAAGGCGACGAUCAGUAGCCGGACUGAGAGGUUGAUCGGCCACAUUGGGACUGAGACACGGCCCAGACUCCUACGGGAGGCAGCAGUGGGGAAUAUUGCACAAUGGAGGAAACUCUGAUGCAGCGAUGCCGCGUGAGGGAAGAAGGUUUUAGGAUUGUAAACCUCUGUCUUCAGGGACGAAAAAAGACGGUACCUGAGGAGGAAGCUCCGGCUAACUACGUGCCAGCAGCCGCGGUAAUACGUAGGGAGCGAGCGUUGUCCGGAAUUACUGGGUGUAAAGGGAGCGUAGGCGGGAUCGCAAGUCAGAUGUGAAAACUAUGGGCUUAACCCAUAAACUGCAUUUGAAACUGUGGUUCUUGAGUGAAGUAGAGGUAAGCGGAAUUCCUAGUGUAGCGGUGAAAUGCGUAGAUAUUAGGAGGAACAUCAGUGGCGAAGGCGGCUUACUGGGCUUUAACUGACGCUGAGGCUCGAAAGCGUGGGGAGCAAACAGGAUUAGAUACCCUGGUAGUCCACGCCGUAAACGAUGAUUACUAGGUGUGGGGGGACUGACCCCUUCCGUGCCGCAGCAAACGCAAUAAGUAAUCCACCUGGGGAGUACGACCGCAAGGUUGAAACUCAAAGGAAUUGACGGGGGCCCGCACAAGCAGUGGAGUAUGUGGAUUAAUUCGAAGCAACGCGAAGAACCUUACCAGGUCUUGACAUCGUAUGCAUAGCUCAGAGAUGAGUGAAAUCUCUUCGGAGACAUAUAGACAGGUGGUGCAUGGUUGUCGUCAGCUCGUGUCGUGAGAUGUUGGGUUAAGUCCCGCAACGAGCGCAACCCUUACUGUUGGUUGCUACGCAAGAGCACUCUAGCAGGACUGCCGUUGACAAAACGGAGGAAGGUGGGGAUGACGUCAAAUCAUCAUGCCCCUUAUGACCUGGGCCUCACACGUACUACAAUGGCUGUCAACAGAGGGAAGCAAAGCCGCGAGGUGGAGCGAACCCCUAAAAGCAGUCUUAGUUCGGAUUGUAGGCUGCAACCCGCCUACAUGAAGUCGGAAUUGCUAGUAAUCGCAGAUCAGCAUGCUGCGGUGAAUACGUUCCCGGGCCUUGUACACACCGCCCGUCACGCCAUGGGAGUCGGUAACACCCGAAGCCUGUAGUCUAACCGCAAGGAGGACGCAGUCGAAGGUGGGAUUGAUGACUGGGGUG
rnacentral:rRNA from 1 species